rnacentral:rRNA from 1 species
UACAGAGGUCUCAAGCGUUGUCCGGAAUUAUUGGGCGUAAAGAGCUCGUAGGCGGUCUGUCGCGUCGGUCGUGAAAACUUGGGGCUUAACCCUGAGCUUGCGGUCGAUACGGGCAUGACUGGAGUUCGGCAGGGGAGACUGGAAUUCCUGGUGUAGCGGUGAAAUGCGCAGAUAUCAGGAGGAACACCGGUGGCGAAGGCGGGUCUCUGGGCCGAUACUGACGCUGAGGAGCGAAAGCGUGGGGAGCGAACAGG